rnacentral:rRNA from 1 species
AUGGCAGAAUGCUUCAAUAAGGUGCUCAAGGGUGUGCGUGCAUUACCUAUGACGGCAAUAGUUCAAUACACAUUUGACAAGUUGAAUGAAUACUUUUUAAAGCACUCAAUGGAGACUGAUAAGCAGAUUGCUGGUGAGAACAAGGAUAAGCACAAGUACAAUUUCCCACCAAAGGUCGAAGAAUGGUUGGAAUUUCAAUCACGAAAGGCAGACUCCGAAGAAGUUGUACUAUAUGACGACAACGAGUGGAAGUAUGAGGUGAAAGAGCCCGGAGGAACCACAAACGAUGGCCGCCAACACGGAGGCCGGGCUUUCAAGGUCUCCCUAACACGGUGUGAUUGCAGCUGCAUGAGGCCGUCUUUGCUUCAUCUCCCAUGCUCGCACUUGUUAAAUGCAUCCCGGGUUAGGAAUGUGGACGUCAAUCACCCUCUUACCGUGAGGGAGUCCAAGUUCUCAAUCAUGACGGUAAAGAAUACAUGGACUCCACGGUUCCAGCCAUACUUGGACCAAUCACAGUGGCCGGAGUAUCAUGGAGUUCAACUAUGGCCGGACCCGGAAUUGAAGAUCGUUAGACGGGGAAGACGUAAGACAAAGCGUCUUAGAGGUGACAUGGACGGAUGGGGCCGUGGUGGUGGUGGAGAAUACGGCACCGGCCAAUUUCAAGAGCCUCGUGAGCAAUCCCGUUGUGACGGUGGAGGCAGUGGUGAUCUUGGCCUUGGCGGCGGCCGUAGUGGAGGAAUGUUCUCUUGGCUCAAUGGACCAUUGCCGUAUGUAACUUACUAUGAUCUUGUUCUUUUGGCUCAAUGCUUGUGUUGUCAUUUUGUAUUGUGUGACUAA